rnacentral:tRNA from 1 species
GCUGUUAUAGCUCAGUGGUAGAGCACUUCCUUGGUAAGGAAGAGGUCACGAGUUCAAGUCUCGUUAACAGCUCUA